rnacentral:rRNA from 1 species
CCUACGGGUGGCUGCAGUGGGGAAUAUUGGACAAUGGGGAACCCUGAUCCAGCCAUGCCGCGUGUGUGAAGAAGGCCCUCGGGUUGUAAAGCACUUUCAGUGAGGAAGAACGCCUGGUGGUUAAUACCCAUCAGGAAAGACAUCACUCACAGAAGAAGCACCGGCUAACUCCGUGCCAGCAGCCGCGGUAAUACGGAGGGUGCGAGCGUUAAUCGGAAUUACUGGGCGUAAAGCGCGCGUAGGUGGCUUGAUAAGCCGGUUGUGAAAGCCCCGGGCUCAACCUGGGAACGGCAUCCGGAACUGUCAAGCUAGAGUGCAGGAGAGGAAGGUAGAAUUCCAGGUGUAGCGGUGAAAUGCGUAGAGAUCGGGAGGAAUACCAGUGGCGAAGGCGGCCUUCUGGACUGACACUGACACUGAGGUGCGAAAGCGUGGGUAGCAAACAGGAUUAGAUACCCUAGUAGUC